rnacentral:piRNA from 1 species
UGGAUUAAGAAGGCAGCCGAAGAC